rnacentral:misc_RNA from 1 species
UACGGAACUGUUGCUGCCUGCUGCUGUAGUAGUAUUAUUAUUAUUAUUGUUAUUUGCUGUUCUCUGUAGUCUGUAUAGGUGUAUAAUGAGCAAUCGCCUCGGUUGUUGUGAAAGCAAUUAUUAUUACUCUUAUAGGUAGGUAAAUGAUAGUGUGUGCGUGUUGAACCGUGCGUUACGUGGGUACCAGGCCUUAGGGAUCCGCGGGCUUAUUACGAAAGCAACGACACUCGUUUAGGUGUUCGCCGUUCGGUAGUGUUUACUGUUGCUGGCGGUGGUGGUGGUAAACGCGCUACGACACAGGUAUUACAGUAGUCGUUUUUACUUUCUCGCCCGAUUUCGUCGUGUGAAAUCAUGAGACUUUUUUCUCACUAAUUCCUACGUUGGUAUUUUUUUGUAUUUUGUGUUGACCAAACAGUAUCGAUAAUUGUAAUUGUGUCAGUAUUAUUUUUAUUAUUAUUUUUUUAGCCCAUAGUGCCGAGUUGUAUUAUUAAUGUAUUUGUUUAUUUUUUAUUAAGUGUUUUGUGUAUUAAACUGUGUAAUCUUAAAUGGUCUUCUACCGCCACACACGAACACAAAUUAUUCAAUUUGAAUUGGCAGACAAAAAUUUAAACAUUGAUAACAGCUAGACAAUAUCGGACUAGAAUUUUUAAUGACUGUUUAAUUACCUUUUAAUUUUUAUCCAAAUGCUGUUAUUGAUAUCAAUAUCAAUCAACAACACAUCAUCCAUUAUUGAGACAUGAUCGACGGCUUUUUUUGUAUGUUUUGUGAUAAAACUGAAGACGUCAUUCAACAAACAGUAUUUCAAAGUAAUUUUGAAAAAUGUAGCACCUAUAUUCCUAAUGGUAUCAGGUCUACUUAUUACAUUUGCUCUUGCUCAAUCUACUAUACUCAAAACGGCUUAUUUUCAUAGCCAAAAUUUAAGUUAUUAACGUUGUUGCUCAUUUACUACUAUUAGUUUAAGUAUCAAUAAGUCAACUGUGAAAAUGUGGAUAGUAUUACUGUUGUUCUUUGCUGUUAAAACUGGUAGAGCGGCUGAUUUAGCUAUACAAUUGCCCGCAUCAAACUCAGUAUCAUUUGCAUCUCCAUUACAACAAGCUUAUUAUAGACUUGAUUAUCAACCUCCACACGGUAAUCCCCCAGCAAACACAACUAUUGCAGCUCAAGACAUAGGCGAUGUAAUACAUUUUUCUCAAGCUUUGCCAGGGACCCGUUAUGAUUUUUGGUUAUACUAUAGUAAUUCAAGCACAGGAAGUAAUUCUAUAAAUAACAAUUCCCCACAACAAACUCCGGGAAAUGUAAUAGUUCCAGUUGGAUCUGGUGCAGAAACUCUCAUAAAUGGAGCUGUUUCUAGUUCUUUAUCACCCCAGUCUCAAUGGUUGCUUACUUGGACUGCAUCAAUUACUACUGCACCUGAUCCGCCUACAAACCUAACUGUAACAGUAAAAGGUGGAAAAACAGCACAUGUCCAAUGGUCACCUCCAGUGUUGGGAAAUUAUAAUGGAUUUAAACUAAAAGUUAACAGUUUAUCUCCAUCUUCUACAUCUGGUAUUGUGCAGCAACAACAAGAACAGUUUGUGAAAAUUGUUGAUGCUAGUAACUCCCCAUCCACUGCCUCAUCUCAAACUGAUUUAUCCAGAGACACACAGCAACAAUAUGUUUUGAAAGAUUUGACGCCUGGAGCUACCUACCAGUUACAAUUGUUUACAGUAUAUGAACAUAAAGAAAGUGUGGCCUAUAUAUCUAAGAAUUUUACAACUAAACCCAGCACUCCAGGAAAAUUUAUCGUAUGGUUUAGAAAUGAAACUACAUUGUUGGUGCUUUGGCAACCUAGUUAUCCAGCUAGCGUAUUCACUCAUUAUAAGGUAAGUGUUGAGCCUCAGGAUUCACCAGAGUCAACAGUUUAUGUAGAAAGAGAAGGUGAACCACCAGGUCCAGCACAAGCUGCAUUUAAAGGUCUUGUACCUGGGCGUGCAUACAACAUAAGUGUACAUACUGUUAGUGAAGAUGAAACAUCUGCACCAACAACUGCUCAAUACCGUACUAUUCCUUUAAAACCAUUGAAUGUGGCUGUUGAUCCUAGGCAAACAAGUUCAUAUGGUUUACGGGUACACUGGGAACCACCAAAAGGACUUUGUGAAUUUGACAAAUAUCAAAUAUCGGUCAAUGUUAAGAGGCCAUCACAACAAUCUUCAUUAAAUCAAUUGGCAUCUCAUCGUAGCAUCAGUGAUCAAACCCAACAAACUACUACUCCCAUAACACUUACUCGUCCUCGUGAUGGUGAUAGUUCUAAUUCUGGGGGUUCAACACAAUGGUGUGAUGUGUACGACACACAGUCAUUACAACCAGGUCGAACUUAUCAAGUUCUUGUGAAGACAGUUUCUGGAAAAGUGGCUUCAUGGCCUGCUUCUGUAAAUGUUACAUUAAAACCACUACCUGUAAUUGACUUAAAAGUUAUAAGUAGCGGUAAUACAAAUGGAAAUAAUUUGAAUGAAGAUGGAGGUGGUGGUGUAUUACAAUUAACAUGGAAGGCUGAUGCAAUGAGUUGGCAAGACGCAUAUCAAGUGAGCUAUGCUGAAGUUCUUACAGGUUCUCUAUCGUCUUCUUCAUCUGCUUCCGAUUCUCUGAUUGUAUCAUCAGUAUUAUCAUUGGGGAAUAAUCUUAAUCAAUCACUAAAUGGUUCCUCACGACAACAAUCCACAUCAUCAGCUGUGGCAUCAGCUGCAAUUACAGCAACAACUUCUACCGAUAGUAAUGUUUUGGUAGUCCAAGCUACUAGGGAGUCAAUUGAAGAUCCAUCGACCCCGAUUGAAUGCACAUUAGAAUCAUUAUUACCAGGUCGUAAUUACUCUAUAUCUGUAAAAUCACUUAGUUCUGGUGUUGCUUCUAAUGACACUGUUGUGUACCACACAAUGAAACCAUCAGCACCAAUUAUUGAAGAUUUAAGACCAACAUUGGAUUAUGGAUUAAAUGUAUCUUGGAAAACAGAUGUCAAUAGUCGACAAGAAACAUUUCAAGUGGUACUUCGUCGUAAUGAUACUGAUGAUAUACCAACUGUAAGGAUAACUAAUGAAUGGCGCAUGGCUUUAAGAAAUUUAUACCCCGGAGCAGCUUAUCAACUUAAAGUGUUUGCUAUAAGUCAUGGACUUCUAUCUGAACCUCAUGAUUACUUUCAAGCCGUUUAUCCUAGGCCUCCUACUGAUCUUCAAGUAGAGAAUAUAACUGCUGCCUCAAAUAUUGGGUCAAACUCUGUUUUAUUGAAAUGGAAUGGCCCCACAGCUGAAGGCAUGUUCACUGAAUAUUCUAUUAAAUAUCGUACCAUUGAUUCCAAUGGGGGCCAACAACAGUGGAUUAGGUUGCCAGGAGUACAAUCAACUGAGGCAGAAAUCGCGGAUAUGGUGGCCGGACAACGAUACACAAUUCAAGUUAACACCCAAACUUAUGGAUCUCUGGAGUCUCCAUAUCCACUGCUAGUUAAUUAUACAAUACGACCAAACCCUGUGAGUAACAUGGCUUUGCUUGUGGAUGCUACAAACUUGACUAUACAGUUCCCUCGUCCAGAAGGGUUAAUUGAUUACUAUUCUGUAGAGUAUAUACUUCUUAAGCCACCUCCACAAUCAGAUCAAAAUCAAACUACUACCUCUAUUAAUUGGACUACAGCAGCUACAACUUGGAGUAGUAGUAGUGUUGGAACAUCAUCUAGUGGAUGGAAAAAUUUUACGGAUUCUGGAUAUCCUAAUGGAUCUAGUGGAACUAUUUUAGUGAAUUUAGGUUUAGAUGAAUUAAUUGCUGGUGCAGGUUAUGGAUUACGAUUACGUACAUGUUCACAUUCCAUGUACAGUGACCCUGUAAUCCUGGAAACACAUACAAUGCCGUUGAUUUUAUCUGAAAUAUUGGCUGUAAAUGAUCAACAACUUGCCACUGACACUUUGACCUUGCGAUAUACUCCUACUCCACAAACAGCUAGUCGUUUCGUUAAGUACCGUUUUCAACUAUCAGAAGCUAAUCAUCAAACAAGUACACAAUCUACAGCAUAUCAAUCGUCUACCACCACUCCUUCAGAUCCAGGAUCUGGAAUAGCAUCUACAUCAUCUACUGGAACAGUAUUGAUUGCUGAAAAAUGGGCAUCAGAUAAUGAAUGGAAAGUUACUUGGCAUUCUUUAGUCCCCGGUCGUUUGUAUGAUAUAACUGUGUGGACUGUAUCAGCAUAUGGAGUUCUCAGCCAGCCGUUGCGUCGGCAAGAUCGUCUUUAUCCAGAGCCAAUUACUGAUUUGAAUGCCACUCAAAUAACCCGUGAUUCUGUUCACCUUGUAUGGACACUGCCCCGUGGACAAUAUGAUGCAUUUGAAAUUGAAUAUUUAGAUACUGACGCGACAAUUAUUACUACAGCUUCUUCUAUUGCAAAUUCAUAUUCAUCCUCUAAAUCAUCCUCAGAUGGGGGAGGAGGGUUACUCGUUCAAAAUUUGACGGAUAAACCAUGGUUUUUAGUGCAAGGUCUUCGACCAUUUCGUAAUUAUACAUUCACUGUUGUGGUGCGAGCUGGUGGUGGAGGGUCUUUAACAUCUUUAUCUCAACAACAAAUAUUAAACAGUGGCAUAGGAGGCUAUGCAGCAGCAUUAUUAUUGAGACGUUCAGUUCCAGUAUCUGGUACUUUUAGCUCAUUGGAGUGGGUACCAGGACGUUGUGUAAAUUUCCAAGCAGUUGACGUACAACCUGGGCACCUUACAUUAGAGUGGACAUUGCCAGAGUCCGAACAUAAUGGUAUACUUUUACGUUAUGUGGUGUCAUGGACUGCUAUAUUAACUUCAUCAUCAUCCGAUGGUACACCUGCUUCUACAAAUACUGUGGUACAGUUGCAUGGCGGUGAAGAAGAAGAAAAUAUGUUGGGCUUGGGUAUAAACAAUCUACUCAGUAAUGGCGGUUUAUUAAAUGGUCAGCCUCCUUUGGGAUCCGAAAUUGAAGUUGGUGAAACAACUAAAACAUCAUAUUAUGAGCCAUGGAGAAAUAGGGCAACUGUUAAAGGUUUAAUACCAGGUCGUCAAUAUGUAUUUAAUAUUAGUGGCGAGACUCGCGUUGGUCGUGGUCCUGUAGCUAGUUUGGAGCAAAGAAUGCCAAUUUUAGCACCACCUAAGCCAAGUGCCCAAGUAGUACCAACUGAAGUAAGCAGAACCACAAAUUCCAUACAAGUACGCUUCCGGAAAAACUAUUUUGGAGAUCAAAAUGGUCGAGUAAAGGCGUAUGCUUUGAUCGUGGCAGAGGAUGAUUCUAAAAACGCUAGUGGUCUUGAAAUGCCCAGUUGGCAAGAUGUACAAGCAUAUACAAUUUGGCCACCUUAUCAGGUUCUUGAUCCAUAUUACCCAUUUUCAACUAAUAAGACUGUGGAGGAUUUUACGAUUGGGCAAGAUUCGCAUUGCAAUACAAAUUCCAUUAGUGGCGGGAAAUUAUUAUCAUCACAAUAUUGCAAUGGCCCACUAAAACCGGGUACAAUAUAUCGUGUUAAAGUACGCGCAUUUACAGCCAAUGACAAAUUUACUGACACCAUGUUUUCAUUUCCUAUACAAACAGAUCAAGAUAACACAUCAGCUCCAACAUCAGCUACAGCCAUUGUGUUGUCUGUUGUAGUAGGAUUGCCAGCUGCUUUUAUUUUAAUUGCUGUUUGUGCUGCAUUAGCCACUGGGAGUGGCCGAAGCCGUUGGUUCCUGUGUGGUAGUGGCAAGAGUAGAAUAAUGAAGAGCUCUGUUGGUGGUGGUAAAAGACAAGCCGGAACAGGGCAGCGAAGAAUCACAGGAGGAAAAUUUCUAGAUAACUCAUCGACUAGAAACUUAAAUGGUGGUGGUCGUGGAGGUGGCCGUGGAGGUGAUAUGAUAAAUUCCUCCAAUGUUCAACAACAACAACAACUUUCAUGUGAUUUACAAAUAAGCCGGCCUGUACGAGUGGAUAGAUUUGGGGAACAUUAUGCCCAAAUGUCAGCUGAUUCUGACUUUAGAUUUUCUGAAGAAUUUGAAGAUUUAAAACAUGCGGCUGCAGCUGCAGCCACCAAUGGAGGUACAACAACUACAGCAGCUGAUUUACCAUGCAAUCGUCCCAAAAAUAGAUUCACCAAUAUUUUGCCUUAUGAUCACAGCCGUUUUAAGUUACAGCCAGUGGAUGACGAAGAAGGAUCUGACUAUAUAAAUGCUAAUUAUGUUCCGGGUCACAACAGCGUUAGAGAAUUUAUUGUUACACAGGGUCCAUUGCAUUCAACGAGAGACGACUUUUGGCGUAUGUGUUGGGAAAGCAAUGCAAGAAGCAUAAUAAUGUUAACUAGAUGUGUGGAAAAAGGUCGCGAGAAAUGUGAUCAUUAUUGGCCAUAUGAUACUCAUCCUGUUUAUUAUGGUGAUAAUAUAUGUGUCACUUUGUUAAACGACACUCAUUAUUCUGAUUGGGUGAUAACUGAAUUUAUGGUUUGUCGGAAUGAUCAAAAAAGAGUAAUACGACAUUUCCAUUUUACCACUUGGCCUGAUUUUGGUGUACCUAGUCCUCCACAAACACUUUGUCGUUUUGUUCGUGCUUUUAGAGAACGUCACCAUGCCGGUGUAGGAAAUAAUAUUGAACAACAUCAGCACCAACUGCAACAACACCACCGUCCUAUAAUAGUGCAUUGCAGUGCCGGUGUUGGACGAUCUGGUACUUUUAUAGCUCUGGACAGAGUGUUGCAAUCGCUCAAUGAUCCUACACAAGUAAAUAAUUAUAUUGAUGUGUACGGUAUUGUAUAUGCAAUGCGCAAGGAACGUGUAUGGAUGGUACAAACCGAGCAACAGUACAUAUGCAUUCAUCAAUGCAUAGUUUGUAUACUACAACAAAACAGUGGUAAUAGCGAUCAACAAGAACUACUUGAUCAAGAGCAACAAGAUUUGGAGCUGAUGAACAAUACGACUGCAGCUACAAUGUUGGCUCAUCACAAUCGUGCAUUUGAAGGUGUAGUUGUGCCAAAAUGUUAAAAUUUUGAUGGCAAAAUUGACAUUGAUGAUGUUGAGGAGCACAAAAAGUGAAACCAUAUUUAUUGGAAAAAAUGAUGAAGGAAUAGCUGAAUCGGGAAUGUAAUUUUAUUGAGCAGAAAACAUGUAUUUUUUUGUAUGCAUCAGUUGCCAACAAAUAUAGACUUACAGCAGUAUUAUGAUAUGACUACUUUGAUAUAAUAUUUUAUAAAAUAUAAUGUUUUAAGUAUAGAUUAUGGCAAUUGCAAUUUUUGUGUUAAAAUAUACAUAUAUAUUAAGGUAACUUGUAUUAUUUAUAGAAUGUUAAUAGAUAUUAAUCAAGGGGGAAUCAAAUCAGCAUAAAGUUUGAUUAAAAUAGUAUUAUUAUUUUUAUACAUUUAUAUUUUAUCUUGUCUCUGUCUUCUUUCUGUUAAAAAAAUUUAAAACCAUUUAUUAAUUGAUAUUAUAAAUCAUAAUCAUUAUAUAUGUAUAUAAUUGUAUUAUGUAUGUAUGUAGUCAUUAAUAUCAAUACCUGUUUAUGAAUUAUUUUUAUUAAAAUAACAUGAUUUUUAAUUGCUCUGAAAAUUAUAUUAUUUAAAUACUAAGUAUUAAAUGUGUAACAUGUAAAACCCAUAUCUAAAUUAUGUUAACUAAAUUUGAGUUUUGAGGGGCUGGAUCCAAAAUAGCUGAAAAACAAUUGUGCACUUAAAAAUCAUAAAUUUAUAAAAAAUAAAUCAAUAAUUAAAGAUAGUGAAUUCAAAAAGAGGUGAGUAAUAAUAUAGACAAAUAUAAUAGAAAUAAUGGUUAUGUGUGUACAAAUUUCAUCAUGAAAUUUUCACUGACCUUGAAAUCUUAAGUUAUUAUUAUUUUUUUUUUUUUUGUAUUUUUAGGAGUACAAAAUUAAUGUGUUUUAUCAAUUAGGUGCAAUACAUUUUAAUGAAUAAAAUAUCUUUUUAUUAAGAAA